rnacentral:lncRNA from 1 species
CGUCCUCUGUUGAGCUCUAUUCACCCCUUCAGGGUUGAUUUUUUUCACCAUAUGCGACCGCCCAGGGUCAAUUUUCUUUUAUUGCAGAUUUAAAUUCUUCACAGCUAUUACG